rnacentral:rRNA from 1 species
GACGAACGCUGGCGGCGUGCUUAACACAUGCAAGUCGAACGGAAAGGCCCUGCUUUUGUGGGGUGCUCGAGUGGCGAACGGGUGAGUAACACGUGAGUAACCUGCCCUUGACUUUGGGAUAACUUCAGGAAACUGGGGCUAAUACCGGAUAGGAGCUCCUGCUGCAUGGUGGGGGUUGGAAAGUUUCGGCGGUUGGGGAUGGACUCGCGGCUUAUCAGCUUGUUGGUGGGGUAGUGGCUUACCAAGGCUUUGACGGGUAGCCGGCCUGAGAGGGUGACCGGGCACAUGGGGACUGAGAUACGGACCAGGCGGGAACGGGAGGCAGCAGGGGAGAGUAUGGCAGAAUGGGCGGGAGCGAGAUACAAAAACGCGGCGUGCGGGAAGAUGGGCUACGAGUUGAAAACAAAUGUGGCAGGAAACAAAGCGUGAGUGACGGGACUGGAUAAGAAAGCAACGGCUAACUACGUG